AUGUUGCACAUUCAAUCAAAUAAUUUCCUAAGGCAUCAAUGGUUUUGCAUUUCAUGCUUCUGCCGGAGGCGAUGGUGGUUAAAUGGUGUUACGGCUCGUGGGGUUUCAUGUUUACCUCCUUGUUUAAACAGACAUGACCCUCUUGCUUCAAGUCUCAUAUCUGGAACGAUAUCAACAGAUGUUGUAGAAAACUUAACAAGGAAUGAAGUAAUUGAGGAAUGCUCUUGGGAAUUUUCCCAUUCACGUUCUUAUGAGACUGCCAUGGAAGCACUUUCUUCCCUCAUUACAGGUCGGAAACGUGGGGAAAGGCCUUCUAUCAGGGGAAAGUACAGUAAGCUAGAACGCAUGACUAUGUAUUUGCAGAUAUUAGGAUUGGAGGAUAAUGUAGCUGAACUUAACAUCAUCCAUGUUGCUGGAACAAAGGGGAAGGGGUCGACAUGUGCUUUCUCUGAGGCAAUUUUACGCGAAUGUGGUUUCCGGACUGGCCUUUUUACAUCACCUCAUUUAAUUGACGUGAGAGAGAGGUUUCGACUUGAUGGGGUUGACAUUGCUGAAAAGAAGUUUCUGCAAUACUUUUGGGACUGUUGGGAUCAAUUAAGGAUUAAAGUAACCGAUGAUUUGCCUAUGCCUCCCCUAUUUCAGUUUCUCACUCUUCUGGCAUUCAAGAUAUUCAUUGGUGAAAAAGUUGAUGUUGGAAUUAUUGAAGUUGGUCUUGGAGGGGAAAAGGAUUCCACAAAUGUGAUUAAAGAACCUGUUGUUUGCGGAAUCUCUUCAUUGGGGAUGGACCACAUGGAAACCUUAGGUGAUACUUUGGGAAAGAUUGCCUUCCACAAGGCUGGUAUCUUAAAGCCCAGUGUACCAGCAUUUACGGUAUCCCAGCUUCCUGAAGCGAUGGAUGUUAUCACCGAAAGAGCUCACCAAUUGAGGAUUCCCUUGGAAGUUGUGCAACCUCUUAGCUGUGGACAGUUAAAUGGAUUACAACUCAGUUUGGCUGGUGAUCAUCAAUAUGUUAAUGCAAGCCUUGCUGUUUCCCUCUGUAAAUCUUGGCUUCAACAAACAGGGAACUUAAAAAAGGUGUUUACCAAUGAUAGUUGUGAAGCUGAUCUGCCAGAUGCUUUCUUGAGAGGUCUUUCAUCAGCACGUCUUCCUGGGAGGGCUCAGGUAGUCCAUGAUGACAUAUGUAGGUCCUCUAAUACACCUACAGGAGACCUGGUGUAUUAUUUGGAUGGAGCGCACAGUCCUGAAAGCAUGGAUGCCUGUGCUAAAUGGUUCUCAAAGGUUGUGAUUGGCGAUCAUAAGUCUACAUCAUUACCCUCCUUAAAGUCAUCUUCUGAGAAUCAUUUUGGAGAGGCAUUUAGCAAAUAUGGUUUCACCAAUUGUGAAAAGGGAAAUAGUGAUAAAAACUCCAAGCAGAUUCUUUUGUUCAAUUGCAUGGAGGUGAGAAAUCCACAAAUCCUGCUACCAAACCUUGUUAGGACCUGUGCUUCCUCAGGUGUUCAUUUCUCUGGAGCCUUAUUUGUUCCUACCAUAUCCACAUACAACAAAGUUGUUUCUGGUUCUUCAAUCACUUCUUCAAACACACCUAGAAACUUGUCUUGGCAAUAUAAUCUGCAGAGAAUAUGGGAGAAGUCAAUUAAUGGGAAAGAUUUUGAUCCGGAUAGAAAUAAUUUCAUAGAGUGCUUAAAGAAUGAGAGUAGUGACGCCUUGUCACCACCUGAAUUUCUUCAUGGUGAUCAUCAUAGAGCCUUUCCUGGUGAUUCUCCUCGUACCAGUGUGGUUGUUCCUUCAUUGUCAUCAGCAAUUAAAUUGUUGAGGGAUUGUGCAAGGGAAAACCCUUCUGUCAGAUUGCAGGUCCUUGUGACGGGAUCAUUGCAUCUAGUAGGAGAUGUUUUGAGGCUGCUAAAGAGAUAACUUUUACGAGCUCUGGCUUUAGCUUGUCAUAAUUACUCCGUGGGUCUGCCACCCAGAAGUCACAAUACUUCAGCUAUUCAGGUUCUACCAAAAAUAGCUCGUUUCAAGUUAACCUGAAAUCACAGUGCCAUAACUAGUGUGUGAAUUUACAAUGCGAAAAUAUAGGCAGCUCAUACCCACAACUCAAGCGUGAGGCUUAUAAUUUUGCAUGAUGUUCGCCAAUUAGUCUUUAUAUUUUUGUGAAAAUGCAAAGAUUGACAGAGCCUAAUGAAAAUAGCAAGUGAAUUGCUUGUUCGGUAACAUAGUAAACUUUCAGUGUUUGGUUUGUAGAUUGUUCGAGUUAUGCUAUUAUUUGUAAACGAACUUGAUAUGAAUCAUGCAUAAACUAUUCAUGUUAAUUUUGAUAGCUAGCAAAUAGCAAUAAACUAGUGAUAAGAUUGACAACUACUUGUUCUUGCUUUUAAAGUGUUGUAUUUGGUUUUUAUAAAUCUGAAAUAUGAAGAAUGAAAAGAUGAUAGCGAACAAGCUCUAAGUUAUCCUAUACUACAACUGUGGAUGAUUACGGAAUAUGAAUUGUAUUUAAUUUUACAGGUGAAAAAAAGAUGUCUUAUUCUUAGUUAUGAGAUGCAGAAACUAAGUGACGACUAAUUUUGGACAGAGAAAAACAAAACUAUGUCUUUUAUUAGGGAUCGAGUUUUGCAUACAUUAUUGUCCUUUGUGGCUCUCUAUAUUCCAUUAUAUAUAUAAACUUUUUUUUAAAAGAAAAUCCCGUAGUUUUAAUGUUUUGUAUUAUUCCAAUAAGUUGUGAUAAUAACAAAACUAAAAUAAAUUUGUUUACAAAACCUAUUAAGAAGAUAUUUUGGCAUUUUUUUUAAAAAAAAAAAAAAAAAGAAGAUGUUUUGGCUUAUCAUUUGCUGUAUUGUACAUUUGUAUGCUCAAAUACGGAGUGAAUCUCUCCUUUACGAUAUUGUAGUUUAUAAUGCUUGUACUUCCUC